rnacentral:rRNA from 1 species
CAAGGCUUGACAUGCAUCUCUAAACACGUGAAAGCGUGUGACCCUUCGGGGAAUUUGCACAGGUGCUGCAUGGCCGUCGUCAGCUCGUGUCGUGAGAUGUUGGGUUAAGUCCCGCAACGAGCGCAACCCUUGUGAUUAGUUGCCAGCACGUAAUGGUGGGAACUCUAGUCAGACUGCCCAGAUCAACUGGGAGGAAGGUGGGGACGACGUCAGGUCAGUAUGGCCCUUACGCCUUGGGCUGCACACGUACUACAAUGCCCAGCACAAUGAGAACCGAUGCCGCGAGGUGGAGGAAAUCUGCAAAACUGGGCUCAGUUCGGAUUGGAGGCUGCAACUCGCCUCCAUGAAGUUGGAAUCGCUAGUAAUGGGGCAUCAUCUACGGCCCCGUGAAUACGUUCCC